rnacentral:misc_RNA from 1 species
GAUGAAGAACGUAGCGAAAUGCGAUAAGUAAUGUGAAUUGCAGAAUUCAGUGAAUCAUCGAAUCUUUGAACGCACAUUGCGCCCGCUAGUAUUCUGGCGGGCAUGCCUGUCCGAGCGUCAUUUCAACCCUCAAGCCCCCGGGCUUGGUGUUGGGGAUCGGCGAGCCUCCGCGCCCGCCGUCCCCUAAAUCUAGUGGCGGUCUCGCUGUAGCUUCCUCUGCGUAGUAGCACACCUCGCACUGGGAAACAGCGCGGCCACGCCGUUAAACCCCCAACUUCUGAACGUUUGACCUCGGAUCAGGUAGGAAUACCCGCUGAACUUAAGCAUAACAAUAAGCGGAGGA